GUUGGUUUUCCAUAUUUAAGCUGCAUGAUUUGGGGCAAAUCUCUUAACUUGUCUGAACUUGGAUCAGGAUCCAUAAUUAGUAUACCAAUGACGAGGAUCCAAUGUGCUAAAAUGCUGGAGAAGAAAAAGAGCAUGGACGCUCAUUCAUGGGGCAUUUACAUGACUCAGGUCAAGCAAUGGCGUGUGUCACUCCUGCUCAUAGUCUGUCCUGUGAGCACACCUGGACGGUGCAGGAGGCUGGAGCAGGACAUCCAAGUCUGUGUCCAGAAUGAAGAGACCACUGACUUGGUGAGAAGCCAGCCAGUCUAUGCUAAAGGGAAACUGAGGCCAUAAAAAAACAGUAAAUGUACAAAAUAGUUUGAGUUUAAUGAUGACUUCCAUGAAGAAAAUAAACAAUGUCUGUG
rnacentral:lncRNA from 1 species